GACGAACGCUGGCGGCGUGCUUAACACAUGCAAGUCGAACGGAAAGGCCUGCUUUCCCUUGUGGAUUGCGGGUACUCGAGUGGCGAACGGGUGAGUAACACGUGAGUGAUCUGCCCCCAACUCGGGUAUAAGCCUGGGAAACUGGGUCUAAUUCCCGAUAGGACUGCAGGGUGGUGCCUGUGGUGGAAAACGAUUUUCUAGUGGUUGGGGAUGAGCUCGCGGCCUAUCAGCUUGUUGGUGGGGUAAUGGCCUACCAAGGCGGCGACGGGUAGCCGGCCUGGGAGGGUGGACGGGCGCAUUGGGACUGGGAUACGGCCCAGACUGCUACGGGAGGCAGCAGAGGGGAGUAUUGGACAGUGGGCGGAAGCCUGAUGCAGCGACGCCGCGUGGGGGAUGACGGCCUUCGGGUUGUAAACUCCUUUCGACCGCGAGGAAGCCACCUGGUUGGAAGGGUGGUGACGGUAGUGGUAGAAGAAGCACCGGCUAACUACGUG
rnacentral:rRNA from 1 species